CCGGCGGUAGCUCAGUUGGUAGAGCAGCAGACUGUAGAUCUGAUGGUCGCUGGUUCGAUUCCAGCUCGCCGGA